rnacentral:rRNA from 1 species
UACGUAGGGCGCAAGCGUUAUCCGGAAUUAUUGGGCGUAAAGAGCUCGUAGGCGGUUUGUCGCGUCUGCCGUGAAAGUCCGGGGCUCAACUCCGGAUCUGCGGUGGGUACGGGCAGACUAGAGUGAUGUAGGGGAGACUGGAAUUCCUGGUGUAGCGGUGAAAUGCGCAGAUAUCAGGAGGAACACCGAUGGCGAAGGCAGGUCUCUGGGCAUUAACUGACGCUGAGGCACGAAGGCGUGGGGAGCGAACGGG